GUCCUCGCCCCUGAAGCUCAAGAACACAUGGUAGCUACAAGGAGAAGCCGAAGAAGACGCUUCAUGUGAUUUUGUAGCAGGCAUUGAAAAACCCCCCAAGAAAAAGACUACUAAAGGAGUCUUCUUGGUCACUGAAAAUCUAGCCCGUUGGAGGUGUCUUGGACAGUGUACUGGCCAAGAUCGAGGUCGCCGGAGCUCUCAUGAAGAGAUGACCGGGAUUUUGAUCGCCACUUCAAAGCCAGAGAGUGAAAUCGAUCCUUGCUUAAAAUCGAAGAGAUCCUAAAAGAAAGAAAAAGACUACAGAGAAGACC